UAUUGGUCAAUGGGCGCAGGCCUGAACCAGCCCAGUAGCGCGAAGGAUGUCUGCCCUCUGGGUUGUAAACUUCUUUUAUAUGGGAAUAAAGUUUUCCACGUGUGGAAUUUUGUAUGUACCAUAUGAUUAAGGAUCGGCUAACUCCGCGCCAGCAGCCGCGGUAAUACGGAGGAUCCGAGCGUUAUCCGGAUUUAUUGGGUUUAAAGGGAGCGUAGGUGGACAGUUAAGUCAGUUGUGAAAGUUUGCGGCUCAACCGUAAAAUUGCAGUUGAAACUGGCAGUCUUGAGUACAGUAGAGGUGGGCGGAAUUCGUGGUGUAGCGGUGAAAUGCUUAGAUAUCACGAAGAACUCCGAUUGCGAAGGCAGCUCACUGGACUGUUGACUGACACUGAGGCUCGAAAGUGUGGGUAUCAAACAG
rnacentral:rRNA from 1 species